AACACCUCAACUCUCAUGGUUUGCCAUGAUGAGAUUGGACUUUGGGGGUCUUGCUGGCCUAUGGGUCAGCUCCUCUCAAAUGAAUCAGCUUGCCAGUGUUUGGUGGCAUCACAGGUGUGAUAACUAUCUACGCUUGUGGUUUUCCAUCAGAUAACCUUCAGUGAUGGAGGUUCGCUGGGGCUCAUAAAUGUCUCUCCUCAGUGAGGACAGCUUUUUGAAC
rnacentral:misc_RNA from 1 species